GUUAGGUACUAUGUGAACACGUGUGCACUUGGUGUGGUUCCACCCACUUUAAAACAUGGUUCACUGCUUGUGUAUUACAUGAUGUCUCAUGUUGUUCUGUGUGCAUGUAGCAUCUAUGCCUCUGAACCAUGUAUGUUGUGUGUGCAUAUAUGGUGUACAUAUGUUGGUAUUCUGGCUUCAGAUAGCUCUGCACAAUCCUCCCGUGUGCAAGUGGCCAUCCAGACCCUGGAUGAAAAUGACAAUGCUCCCCAACUGGCCGAGCCCUAUGACAUUUUUGUGUGUGAUUCUGCAGCCCCCGGCCAGGUAAGCAGCAGAGGUAGAUGGGUUAGACUCUCAAGGCCUCCAGCAGCCAUCCCACUGAAAAGCCUUUCAUCUUCCUCCCAGUUGAUUCAGGUCAUCCGGGCUCUAGACAAAGACGAAGUUGGCAACAGUAGCCAAGUCUCCCUUCAAGGUCCUGUGGGCCCUGAUGCUAACUUUACAGUCCGGGACAACCGAGAUGGCUCUGCCAGCCUGCUGCUGCCUUCCCGCCCUGCUCCACCCCGUCAGGCCCCCUACUUGGUUCCUAUAGAACUUUGGGAUUGGGGACAGCCAGCUCUGAGCAGCACUGCCACGGUGACUAUCAGUGUGUGUCGCUGCCGUCCCGAUGGCUCCAUGGCAUCCUGCUGGCCUGAGGCUCAGCUGUCACCCACCGGCCUCAGCACUGGUGCCCUGCUUGCCAUUGUCACCUGUAUGGGCACCCUACUUGGUGAGUCUGGCCACAGUGAGAUGAGGUGUGCUAGGCCUGUUCUGUGUGGAGGGAGAAAGCAUGUCUAGACAUAGGGCAUGAAUGACCAACUCCCUCCGGUCUGGAUUUCCUACUACCGGACAGGUCCAAGAGAAAACAUCUGGUCUCAUACAGUGGACCUGCCAUUCCGUGAUCGUAACUAGCCUUAUA
rnacentral:lncRNA from 1 species